AUUACAGGUGUUGCAUGGCUGUCGUCAGCUCGUGUCGUGAGAUGUUCGGUUAAGUCCGCUAACGAGCGCAACCCUCGCUGUGUGUUAUAUGUGUCACACAGGACUGCUGGUAUUAAGCCGGAGGAAGGUGGGGACGACGUCAAGUCAGCAUGACCUUUAUAUCCAGGGCUACACACACGCUACAAUGGUCAGUACAAUGGGUUGCCAAGCCGCGAGGCGGAGCCAAUCCUAAAAAGCUGGCCUCAGUUCAGAUUGCAGUCUGAAACUCGACUGCAUGAAGUCGGAGUUGCUAGUAAACGCAGGUCAGCUAUACUGCGUUGAAUACGUUCCCGGGGCUU
rnacentral:rRNA from 1 species